AAAAAAUUAAUAAAAAAAAACAAAGAGAGAAAAGAAUACAGUUUAGACCACCCCACCCCUUCUUUUUAGAACUAUCCACUUUUUCUCUUUACUACACUCCUUCUUUUUUACUCACUCACUCUCUCUCUCUCUUUUCAAAGAAAG
rnacentral:ribozyme from 1 species